rnacentral:tRNA from 1 species
GGGCGCUUAGCUCAGCGGUAGAGCGCUUCGUUUACACCGAAGAUGCCGGGGGUUCGAUCCCCUCAGCGCCCACCA